rnacentral:rRNA from 2 species
GAAGCNAAUUGCGGUGCUAAUACACGCAAGUUUAGCGGACUUGAAUAGAAGCUUGCUUCUCUGAUNGUUAGCGGCGGACGGGUGAGUAACACGUAGUGCAACCUGCCCUCAAGUUUGGGACAACUACCGGAAACGGUAGCUAAUACCGAAUAAUUGUUUUCUUCGCCUGAAGGAAACUGGAAAGACGGAGCAAUCUGUCACUUGGGGAUGGGCCUGCGGCGCAUUAGCUAGUUGGUGGGGUAACGGCUCACCAANGCGACGAUGCGUAGCCGACCUGAGAGGGUGAUCGGCCACACUGGGACUGAGACACGGCCCAGACUCCUACGGGAGGCAGCAGUAGGGAAUCUUCCGCAAUGGGCGGAAAUGCCUGACGGAGCAAUGCCAGAGUGAGUGAUUGGAAGGUUUUCCGGAUCGUAAAGCUCUGUUGCCAGNGGAAGAACGCUUGGGAGAGUAACUGUUCUCAAGGUGACUGGUACUUGCAAAAGAAAAGCCCCCGGCUAACUACGUGCCAGCAGCCGCAGGUAAUACCGUAGGGGGGCAAGCCGUUGUCCGGAAUUAUUGGGGCGUAAAGCGCNGCAGCAAGUGCUGGUCAUUUUAAGUCUGGUGUUUAAUACCGGGGGUCAAACCUGGAUUCGGACUGGAAAUGGGNUGAUUUGAGUUGGCAAAAGGAAAUUGGAAUUCCAGUNUUAAGGGUGAAAAGGUAAANUAUUGGAGGNGAAAAAUGAAACNGG